AACGAACGCUGGCGGCGGGCCUCAUACAUGCAAGUCGAGCGCGAAAGUCCGCAAGGAUGAGUAAAGCGGCGCACGGGUGAGUAACACGUGGAUAAUCUACCCUUUGGAUUGGAAUAACCUGUCGAAAGACGGGCUAAUGCCGAGUAAGCUUACGAGUUCGUGAAGUUCUUGUAAGGAAAGAUGGCGCAAGCUAUCGCCGAUGGAUGAGUCUGCGUCCCAUUAGUUAGUUGGUGGGGUAAUGGCUUACCAAGACUAUGAUGGGUACCUGGUCUGAGAGGAUGACCAGGCACACUGGAACUGAAACACGGUCCAGACUCCUACGGGAGGCAGCAGUAGGGAAUAUUGCGCAAUGGACGAAAGUCUGACGCAGCCACGCCACGUGAGUGA
rnacentral:rRNA from 1 species